UACGGAGGGGCUAGCGUUGUUCGGAAUUACUGGGCGUAAAGCGCACGUAGGCGGAUCAGUCAGUCAGGGGUGAAAUCCCGGGCUCAACCCGGAACUGCCUUUGAUACUGCUGGUCUGGAGGAUGGGAGAGGCGAGUGGAAUUCCGAGUGUAGAGGUGAAAUUCGUAGAUAUUCGGAGGAACACCAGUGGCGAAGGCGGCUCGCUGGCCCAUUUCUGACGCUGAGGUGCGAAAGCGUGGGGAGCAAACAGG
rnacentral:rRNA from 1 species